CUCGGAUAGCAAUAGUGAGGGAAGCUUCAAGAACCUUGACAAAUUGACCAUGGGGCAUGUCAAUCUGAGGUUGAAACAUUGCUUUUAGCCACAUUAAUACACGAGGUGAUGCAUGCUUUAGAUUUUGACCCUCAUGCCUUUGCACAUUUCCAUGAUGAGUGAAAGAGAUGAAGGCGUAGCCAGGUAUCAAUUUGCAGUUUGUCAUUAUAACUUAUUCCUCUUGUUACUUUAUACAUAGCUUCUGGUUACUUUU